GCCUGGGUGGCUCAGUCGGUUAAGCUUCUGACUUCAGCUCAGGUCAUGAUCUCACGGUUCAUGGGUUCGAGCCCCACAUCAGGCU
rnacentral:tRNA from 1 species